rnacentral:tRNA from 1 species
GCCGCGGUAGCUCAAUGGGUAGAGCAUCGCACGCGUAAUGCGAAGGUUGUGGGUUCGGUUCCCACCUGCGGCA